CUGGCGGCGGACUUCAUACAUGCAAGUCGAACGAGAAAGUAUCCUUCGGGAUACGAGUACAGUGGCGCACGGGGGAGUAACGCGUAGGCAACCUACCCUCGAGUGGGGAAUAACCAUCGGAAACGGUGGCUAAUACCGCAUGCUGUCGUGCAUCGCAUGGUGCACGAUGAAAGUCUUCGGAUGCUUGAGGAUGGGCCUGCGUCGGAUUAGUUAGUAGGUAGGGUAACGGCCUACCUAGGCAGCGAUCCGUAGCUGGUCUGAGAGGACGAUCAGCCACACUGGCACUGAGACACGGGCCAGACUUCUACGGAAGGCAGCAGUAGGGAAUAUUGGGCAAUGGGCGCAAGCCUGACCCAGCCACGCCGCGUGGAGGAAGACACCCCUAUGGGGCGUAAACUCCUUUUAUACGGGAAGAACCCCUCCCUCAGGGAGCCUGACGGUACCGUAUGAAUAAGCACCGGCUAACUCCGUGCCAGCAGCCGCGGUAAUACGGAGGGUGCAAGCGUUGUCCGGAUUCACUGGGUGUAAAGGGUGUGUAGGCGGGACGGUAUGUCAGAGGUGAAAGCCCACGGCUUAACCGUGGAAUUGCCUUUGAAACUGCCGUUCUUGAGUCUCGGAGAGGUCGCUGGAAUUCGUGGUGUA
rnacentral:rRNA from 1 species